GAUGAACGCUGGCGGCGUGCCUAAUACAUGCAAGUAGAACGCUGAAGGAAGGAGCUUGCUCUUUCCGGUUGAGUUGCGAACGGGUGAGUAACGCGUAGGUAACCUGCCUGGUAGCGGGGGAUAACUAUUGGAAACGAUAGCUAAUACCGCAUAACAGUAGAUGUUGUAUGAUAUCUACUUAAAAGGUGCAAUUGCACCACUACCAGAUGGACCUGCGUUGUAUUAGCUAGUUGGUGAGGUAACGGCUCACCAAGGCGACGAUACAUAGCCGACCUGAGAGGGUGAUCGGCCACACUGGGACUGAGACACGGCCCAGACUCCUACGGGAGGCAGCAGUAGGGAAUCUUCGGCAAUGGACGGAAGUCUGGCCGAGCAACGCCGCGUGAGUGAAGAAGGUUUUCGGAUCGUAAAGCUCUGUUGUAAGAGAAGAACGAGUGUGAGAGUGGAAAGUUCACACUGUGACGGUAUCUUACCAGAAAGGGACGGCUAACUACGUG
rnacentral:rRNA from 1 species